UAGAUGCGAGAGUAGAGCAUAUCAAUAAGCGGAGGAAAAGAAACUAACAAGGAUUCCCCUAGUAACGGCGAGUGAAGCGGGAGGAGCUCAAAUUUGAAAUCUUCAAGGUUUGACCUUGACGAAUUGUAGUUUAAAGAAGUGUUUUCGGUUAGAGGAGUAGUAAAAGUUCUUUGGAAUAGGACAUCAUAGAGGGUGUGAAUCCCGUAUUUGACUAUUCUUUCUAGCUUUGUGAUACACUUUCAAAGAGUCGGAUUGUUUGGGAAUGCAGUCCAAAAUGGGUGGUAAAUUUCAUCUAAAGCUAAAUAUUGGCGAGAGACCGAUAGCGAACAAGUACCGUGAGGGAAAGAUGAAAAGAACUUUGAAAAGAGAGUUAAACAGUACGUGAAAUUGUCAAAAGGGAAGCGUUUGACACCAGUGUUGUUUAGUUGAAAAUCAAUUCAAUAAUUUUUGAUUUUGAGUAGUAUUGACUUCAUCAGCUUGCUGCUUUCUUUUCCGAAAUUAUUGAAUGCACUUUUCAGUUAACAAGUCAACAUCAAUUUCUUUUGUUGUAAAAGGGUAAGAGGAAGGUGGCUUACGCUUCGGCGUAAGUGUUUAUAGCCUUUUACCUCUGCAAUCGGAGAGAUUGAGGACAGCAGCGUAGACUCCUUCGGGGGUUAGAUACACUUGUGCUAAGCUAUAGCCUUGUAUAGACAACUUGUUGACUAUGCCCAGUCAUGUAGCUUACUCGCUUGUGCUAUUUUACCUACGCUUAGGAUGUUGACGCGCGUGUGUGCGUG
rnacentral:rRNA from 1 species